GACGAACGCUGGCGGCGUGCCUAAUACAUGCAAGUUGAGCGCUGAAGGUUGGUACUUGUACCAACUGGAUGAGCAGCGAACGGGUGAGUAACGCGUGGGGAAUCUGCCUUUGAGCGGGGGACAACAUUUGGAAACGAAUGCUAAUACCGCAUAAAAACUUUAAACACAAGUUUUAAGUUUGAAAGAUGCAAUUGCAUCACUCAAAGAUGAUCCCGCGUUGUAUUAGCUAGUUGGUGAGGUAAAGGCUCACCAAGGCGAUGAUACAUAGCCCACCUGAGAGGGUGAUCGGCCACAUUGGGACUGAGACACGGCCCAAACUCCUACGGGAGGCAGCAGUAGGGAAUCUUCGGCAAUGGACGAAAGUCUGACCGAGCAACGCCGCGUGAGUGAAGAAGGUUUUCGGAUCGUAAAACUCUGUUGGUAGAGAAGAACGUUGGUGAGAGUGGAAAGCUCAUCAAGUGACGGUAACUACCCAGAAAGGGACGGCUAACUACGUG
rnacentral:rRNA from 1 species